rnacentral:rRNA from 1 species
AUGGUGGUGUCUUUCAGCAGGCAUGUAUUCCGUCUUAAUGGCGAUUCUGUGGUGGCUGCCUUCGAAUCAGCGAUUGGGGGAUCUGGGAUUGAAUUUUCGGUGCAAAUCAUCCGAGACAAGGUAUUUUCCUUUUUGGUAUCUUGUAAGCAAAUUGGUCUCUGCAUUCUCCAGUUGAGGUCGUUUGCGUGCCCACAAUUCAAAUGCUUCUUUCAUCUUUGGGGAAAUGGUGGUCCUAAUUGGGUCCGUGAAUUUAAGAUCUGGAAAAAAGAGUGCGAUGCUGAAUGGAUCCUAGUGAGUCCUUCUAAGAAACGUGCCACUUAGGGGUUGCUUGCCAUGCAUAAUCGUCCGGCUAGAUCAUCAUUUAGAUCGAGUUCAUCUUCGUGAAAGAAGCUUUCUUUUGCAACGUUCCAGCAAUAUCCUGCUUGCAAGGGUUAUAGGUAUCAUGCUUCUCAGUCAUUGGUUGAUACGGUAUCGAAGGCCGGAUAUGACAUGCAUCCUCAUGACAGACUGAUCUUGCCCUCGCCG